GAUGAACGCUGGCGGCGUGCCUAAUACAUGCAAGUCGAGCGAAUAGAGGAGGAGCUUGCUUCUCUGACGUUAGCGGCGGACGGGUGAGUAAUACGUGGAUAACUUACAUAUAGGACUGGGAUAACUUCGGGAAAGCGGAUCUAGUAUCGGAUAAUAUAUUGAACGGCAUGGUUCAAUAGUGAAAGAGGUAUUUGCUGUCACUUGUAGAUAUAUGCUGGCUGCAUUAGCUAGUUGGUAAGGUAACGGCUUACCAAGGCAACGAUGCGUAGCUGACCUGAGAGGGUGAUCAGCCACACUGGAACUGAGACACGGUCCAGACUCCUACGGGAGGCAGCAGUAGGGAAUCUUCCGCAAUGGGCGAAAGCCUGACCGAGCAACGCCGCGUGAGUGAUGAAGGUCUUCGGAUCGUAAAACUCUGUUAUUAGGGAAGAACAAAUGUGUAAGUAACUAUGCACGUCUUGACGGUACCUAAUCAGAAAGCCACGGCUAACUACGUG
rnacentral:rRNA from 1 species